UGUUUUUUGGUUGUUGUUUUUUUUACACAUUUAAAAACAUAUUAUUUACUUAAUGAAGAAAGGUAUCAAGCACCCAUAUCACAUGUGAAAAUGUAAUUGCUCCAUUUGUUAAUCAACCAAUUAAAAUGUAUUUGAUGAUUGGACUCAGCUGAUUGAACACAGCCAGGCCUGAUUGCAGCCAGCCCUGUUAAAUCUAAACCUCACUCACAUUGACCCUUACCAUCUGGGUGAAAUAGUCACCACAAAGUUUCUACAAGCGCCAAUUGAGAUGCAGAGGCAGGACCUCAAACAAGCAGUACAUGUUCAAAAACCUACCAAGUUGUCUGGAUUCAAGUAGUUUUGUAAAGAAAAGUGGGCUAAAAUUCCUCCACAGCAAUGUGAAAGUACACACCUAGAUCACAGGGGAAUUGGAGCCUAUCCCAGCAUGCAGUGGGCGAGAGGCAGGGAAUUGCAAUUGCACCCAUGGACAAUUUAGGGUCUCCAAUUAGCCUACUGCAUGUCUUUACAGUGUGGAAGGAAACCAGAGAACCAGGCAGAAACCCACAUGGACAUGGAGACCAUGCAAACUGCACACACAAAGGCCCUCAGUCAGGAUUCAAACCCGCUCCCUUCUUGCAGACUGGUAGAAAGCGGAGAGGGUAGCACACAUUGAGAAGGGGUCACAGCUCAGAAGGUGUCAUGGCAGGGGGGUUUGACCCCCAACCAUGAAGGGGGACUCGUAUAAUGCUUGAGAGUCGGUCGCGCUACACAGCCCACCGUGGUCACGACCUUCGCGCAGUCGGAACUCCUCCUCGUUCUGUUCUUCUGCCCGGUCUUGCGGAAAACGGCCCUGGGUGAGACGAUGCGAGCUGGGCUCAUGCCCAGAAGAAGGGCAAGUUUGGACAGGCGGAUUCAGAAUGACACGCUUUAAUGAGCAGCAACAAAGAGAUGCAACACGGCAGUGCAUCCAUUUACGCCACGUUCUAACGCCUCUGAGAUGCCUGGUGGAUGCAUGCAGGCCAGAAAAAAAACGAUCCAAGGUCUCCCCCCCCACCCCGCCCCUGGUUUCUCAGGACUUUAUACAGAACAA